rnacentral:rRNA from 1 species
AUUGAACGCUGGCGGCAUGCCUUACACAUGCAAGUCGAACGGCAGCACGGGAGCAAUCCUGGUGGCGAGUGGCGAACGGGUGAGUAAUAUAUCGGAACGUGCCCGGUCGUGGGGGAUAACGUAGCGAAAGCUACGCUAAUACCGCAUACGAUCUACGGAUGAAAGCGGGGGGAUCGCAAGACCUCGCGCGAUUGGAGCGGCCGAUAUCAGAUUAGGUAGUUGGUGAGGUAAAGGCUCACCAAGCCGACGAUCUGUAGCUGGUCUGAGAGGACGACCAGCCACACUGGGACUGAGACACGGCCCAGACUCCUACGGGAGGCAGCAGUGGGGAAUUUUGGACAAUGGGCGCAAGCCUGAUCCAGCAAUGCCGCGUGCAGGAUGAAGGCCUUCGGUUGGU